UUUUCAUGAUCAUAAUACGCUGAGCAUCACACAGAAUCAGGCCAUCCCAGCACCAGCACACAUCUCAACAUGGUGCUCAAACGCCCACAGGUGUGUGGUCAUCCCAGGGCAGCCUCAGCCCUUCCCCGACUCGGCCAGAGAAAGCUCUGCCCACCUGCUCCCGGGCCACAGGAAGUGACAUCACAGUCACUGCUGGAGCCGCGGAACACGCUGGGCGCAUGCAGACGCUGCUCUUUGUCACAGAUACAGCCAACCAUCCCAGGGGGGGACAUCUCUACCUCUGCCGUCCCAGCACCCUCUUCAACCUCCUCCACGCGAGACCCCGAGUUCCACCCCCACAAACAGGCCUCAUUAGACCCCAUCUUGUGAACAGGACACGCACAUACGUGUUGAACGGACGAAUUCCACAUCAGUUAGCUGCCUGUUCGCUGAACGUCUUUCCUGGACUCCAGGAUUGAAGGAAUUAGGACAAUGAAGAGCCACAAAGCAGGAGGAAACCAUCAUGCAGGCUCCACUCAAAGAGAACAAGGCUCAAAGAGAACACCAACUUCCUUGCAUAGGCUUCCUCUAGAAACAAAACUAUUGUGGGACAAUGAGGGAAGUGCUCCCCAUGCGGAGAACCUUUCUAUAGGUCUCCCUGGAGAUGUUCUGGGGCCUGGUACCCAGCGAGGCCGCCUGCAGCCACGUGGCCACUGGCCCUCUCCAUCUUUCACAAGGCAGGAGGGAUGGGAAGUGCUGGCAGGUGUUGGCAUCCUGCAGAUGCUGGUUAUCUUCCAGACCAGCUUCUCAGGUAUUCUCUCUUUCCAUCCUGACAAUGACCCUGUGAAGUGGGAACGGUUACGCUGGUUUACAAAUGAGGACACGAAACCUCGCAAAGCUCCUUUUUCUUCCCUGAGGUCACCUGGCUAGUGAGGGUCGCAGAUGGGGAUUCAACCCAAAGACCAGGUCACAGAAAAGUGCAUCCUUCUUCCUUCUGGACCGACUUGCACGAAAGUUACUUCACCCAGUUGUUGACCUGGCCGAGGAGGGACAGGCGCUGUCAGACCCCAGGAGGAAUGUUAGGUGCCCUCUGGUGCCCAUAUCCCUGUGAAGACCCGGCCAGUUUCCAGGCUGGGGAGUGGACAGGGGGACACAGUGCUCUGUGGGUCAAGGGCACCGUGUGGAGAGAGGAACACGAGAGGGGGAUUGGGGCAACCGUGUUCCUCCCACAAAUGGGCAACUGAGUCACAUCAUAGGAACUCUGUUCCCUGCCAAACAGGUCUCUCUCUCUCUCUCUCUUUUUUCUGUUUCUGUGUAUUUUAAAUGCAUUUAAAUGAAGCGAUUAUUUAACGAUUUUUGUGGGUUUCCUGGUAUUUGUUUUGGGAUUUGUUUUUGUUUUGUUUUGUUUUUUAUUUUGUUUUUUGGUUGACAGUGUUGAAUCAUCGAAAUAUCGUAAAGCAUUUUUCUGGCUCACUAAUUGAUACAGUCCUGCCUAAUUGCCUGCUGCUUCGUUUCUUCUCUGUGAAAAUGACACAGGUUUUCUGGGUUUUUGCUUCCAAAAAACAAACGGUGCUGCUUCACUACCCCGCCCCCAAUCUGUGCCUCCCUUGGGAUGGCGGCACACACCACAGAUUCCGCAGAUCACUGGUCCUGGCAGGGGUGGGAGGAGCUGGGCAGGAUGGGGAAGGGAGGAGCCACAGGGGUGCCAAGAGAGACCCCACAUUCCCGAGGCCCCCUCCCUAGCACCCCUGCCUGCAAACACCUGACAAUCUACCAACAGCCUCAGCAGGUGUAUGCCCUGAGUUACCAAGGAUUUCUGAAGCUGGUGGAAGCUCGGAGGCCCUGUCUGUGGCCAUGGAGACCCCAUAGAGCCCCUGCCUGUAGCCCUAUUUCUCCAGCAAGAGACUGCAGCCUUAACCAGCUGGCCUCGCCCAUCCACAGAACUGUGCUCCACGGGCACCUGCAGCAGCUCACUUUGGAUCACAGGACUGACCUUGUCUUCCAGCCGCACACAGGGAGCGGGGAGCAGGCUGGUCUCAGCCUCUGUCUGCCUGGAGGGACCCCGAGCCCAUCCAGUCUGGCCCUGCCGCUUCCAGGGUUACCCAGGUCCCAGGAUGGGAAAUCAAAGCCCAGCCGUGCUUGACAACAUUAGGACCUCAAAGCAGAGAAAAACAAACAGAACCUCUCCAAAACCAGAGGCUGGUCCAGAGCCAACAUUAUGAUCCUGGUCUCCUGUAUUACAAAAGGGAAAUACUAAGGCCCUAAUGAGAGGAAAGUGGAGUCCGAGGUCCCAGUGUGAGUCAACAGCAGAGCAGAGACCAGACCCAGGAACCACACUGCUAGGCCGGUGCUAUGAAAAAUCCAGACUCAGGCAAAAGAAAGCUCAACAUCCUGAUGUCCCUCUGUAGACGGGAGACGCCUGUGGAAAGGGAGAGGGUCAGCUGACACACCCUCAACAUCCUGAUGUCGCUCUAUAGACAGGAGACGCCUGUGGAAAUGGAGAGGGUCAGCUGGUAGACCUGGUUUGUCAAGAGUACUUGUGAAAAGGGUCGGGGUCUUGGUUGACUGGAAGGGUCUGAGUCCACCCUGUGAUUUACCUGCUACAAAGUCACUCAACAAAUGUGGCAGCCAAGGGUUCACCCACUAGCUAAUGUGACACAUGUAUGUCACACGUGUGUGUCACACACACACACACACACUUGUACAUUUAGCUUAAUACACUUUUUUUUUAAAGACUUUAUUUUUUCCUUUUUCUCCCCAACACCCCCCAGUACAUAGUUGUAUAUUCUUCGUUGUGGGUCCUUCUAGUUGUGGCAUGUGGGAUGCUGCCCCAGCGUGGUUUGAUGAGCAGUGCCAUGUCCGCGCCCAGGAUUCCAACCAACGAAACACUGGUUCAGAUCCCAGGUGCAGACAUGGCACCGUUUGGCACGCCAUGCUGUGGUGGGUGUCCCACAUAUAAAGUAGAGGAAGAUGGGCACAGAUGUUAGCUCAGGGCCAGUCUUCCUCAGCAAAAAGAGGGGGAUUGGCAGCAGAUGUUAGCUCAGGGCUAAUCUUCCUCAGAAAAAAAAGAGAAUUAAUUAAAAACGAAAAAGAAUCUAAUGGAAGAAAAAAAGUCUUUGGGGGUUGCCUAACACUUCUAAAUCCAAGCCCCUUAUCUUGAAACCGCAGCCCUUGGUGAUCAGGCCUUCCUGGGGAGACAGAACCCAGUGACCAGGGCAGCAAGAAUGGAGACACAUGGGAAUCCCACUUCCUUUCACUUACCCGGGCGACAGAACAGAAUUUCUGGUGGAACCCUAUUCUGAGAAAUGGCUCAGGCUUGGGAACGGCCAUGGUUUUGAUGGGCAAAAUAUUCUCCAAGCCUUCCCAAAAGGAGCCUUGGCAUGCCUUGGGGACAUGUAGUCACAGAUGGAGGGAGCCUUGCUGCUCUGCUCCCUAAGCUUGAGACCUAGGGAGGCACAGCAGCCCAGGCAGGAGCCCCAACAUUGGCCUAAUAGGGGGCCCCCCGCCAACAAGAGCAUCGAGAUAUGGUUACUCGUGGUUGAGUCAGAUGUUAAUGGCCCACCUGGAUCAGACGCUGUUCCCCACCGCUGUAGCCACAGAUCAUUCUCAGAUGUCACCCUCAAUCCGUGGACUUGACCAAGCACAGGACAACGGCCCCAUGGGUCCUUGCCCGAGCUUUCUCCUCUCAGGUCAAGUUCCCAGACUUCAGUCCAAACUGACUCAAAGAUUGCCACAAUUUUAUAAGGGAGGGCUAGAAUGGAAUAGACGACUUCUGAGAACAUUUCCAGCUUUAAAAACUUCUCUGAAUUUCUCCAAAAGUCUGCACAGCUGGACUCG
rnacentral:lncRNA from 1 species